rnacentral:rRNA from 1 species
GACGAACCGUGCGAACGUUGUUCGGAAUCACUGGGCUUAAAGGGCGCGUAGGCGGGCUGCCGAGUCUGCGGUGAAAUCCCCCAGCUUAACUGGGGAACGGCCGCGGAUACUGGCGGUCUCGAGGGGGGUAGGGGCAAGCGGAACUGUGCGUGGAGCGGUGAAAUGCGUUGAUAUGCACAGGAACUCCGGUGGCGAAGGCGGCUUGCUGGACCUCUUCUGACGCUGAGGCGCGAAAGCUAGGGGAGCGAACGGG